AAACUGUCAUACAACUGGCGGAAGUGGAGAUUACCACAUGGGAGUAUGACUUUAAUAAGCCGGCCGCCUGGGCAUCAUAA
ncrna:Clostridium cellulolyticum H10 ZMP/ZTP riboswitch